rnacentral:rRNA from 1 species
UACGUAGGUGUCAAGCGUUGUCCGGAUUUACUGGGCGUAAAGAGCGCGCAGGCGGUCGUUCAAGUCGCGUGUGAAAGCCCCCGGCUCAACUGGGGAGGGUCACGCGAUACUGAUCGACUCGAAGGCAGGAGAGGGUAGUGGAAUUCCCGGUGUAGUGGUGAAAUGCGUAGAUAUCGGGAGGAACACCAGUGGCGAAGGCGGCGACCUGGACAGAUAUUGACGUUGAGGUGCGAAAGCGUGGGGAGCAAACAGG